GACGAACGCUGGCGGCGUGCUUAACACAUGCAAGUCGAACGGAAAGGCCCUGCUUUUGUGGGGUGCUCGAGUGGCGAACGGGUGAGUAACACGUGAGUAACCUGCCCUUGACUUUGGGAUAACUUCAGGAAACUGGGGCUAAUACCGGAUAGGAGCUCCUGCUGCAUGGUGGGGGUUGGAAAGUUUCGGCGGUUGGGGAUGGACUCGCGGCUUAUCAGCUUGUUGGUGGGGUAGUGGCUUACCAAGGCUUUGACGGGUAGCCGGCCUGAGAGGGUGACCGGCCACAUUGGAACGGAGAUACGGCCCAGACUCCUACGGGAGGCAGCAGUGGGGAAUAUUGCACAAUGGGCGGAAGCCUGAUGCAGCAACGCCGCGUGCGGGAUGACGGCCUUCGGGUUGUAAACCGCUUUCGCCUGUGACGAAGCGUGAGUGACGGUAAUGGGUAAAGAAGCACCGGCUAACUACGUG
rnacentral:rRNA from 1 species